rnacentral:rRNA from 1 species
UACGCAGGUGGCGGGCGUUGUCCGGAAUUACUGGGUGUAAAGGGAGCGUAGGCGGGACUUUAAGUUGGAUGUGAAAUACCGCAGCUUAACUGCGGGGCUGCAUCCAAAACUGAGGUUCUUGAGUGAAGUAGAGGCAGGCGGAAUUCCUAGUGUAGCGGUGAAUGCGUAGAUAUUAGGAGGAACACCAGUGGCGAAGGCGGCCUGCUGGGCUUUAACUGACGCUGAGGCUCGAAAGCGUGGGGAGCAAACAGG